rnacentral:lncRNA from 1 species
GAGAGAGAUAGAGAGGAGAUGGCAAUUACAAAUAUAUGUGAAAAUUAAAAAAUCUCUCUACUUAAUCGAUUUGCAUGUGUUUUUCAAGCGUGACAUUGAUGAAUUAAAUACUAGUGAGGAUUUCUUGUUUCACAAGUAUGCUAAUUGAAUGUAAACUAGUUUUUUUUUUUCUUCUAAACAAUAGUAUUAGCUAGUUAAAGAAAUAUUAAUCAUUAAAGGCCAAGGCUUGUAAUGUAUAUGUAAAGGAAUUUAUUCUAUGAAUGUACUCAGUUCAAUAUUUUACAUCAUCAGUCGAACAUUAUUUGGGGAUUAUGCCUCAGAUCUUUUGGUGCCCACGAGUGAAAUGAUGUAGAAAGAAACAACGAAAAUGGUCCCUGUAUGUAAGAAAUAAUACAAUUGAGGAACCCAAGAAGCAUAUAUUGCAAUCUGUGAUUUGACUCAGUGGAAUCACCCCAACAAUACUACAAACAAGAUUACAAAUCUUUGAACAAAAAAAAAAGAUAAAAAAUCUUCUUGUUCUUUCGGCCUGAAAUUGUUUCUUUCCUCUUUGGAUCCAUGCCAAUUGCAUGCCAAAAGCAAGUUGAGCCACGGCUUGCGUACGUGGUCCACUAUUUUAUUUGUUACUUUUCCCACAGAAUCGAAGUAAAUUCUUUCUUCUGCAACUAGCUUCUUUUUUAUUUUUUAUUUUAUUUUUUUUAUUACGUACCUUGUGUUAGUUUACUGCAUUUGCAUGCAAUGCUCGAAUCCCAUAUGUAUCAAAGCAACUAAGUACGUAGCGGGGGCAGGUUUUUACUUAUGUUCUUGUGUUUGGGGCAAAUUGAAGUUUAUAUGUCAUUAAGAAGAAAAUAUUAGAGUGAAAACUCAAAUAUAUAUUUUAUUACAUUUAAUCUCUAAAAUUGUACCUUUCAAUAAAAAUAAUCUUUAAAUUUUCUAUUAGUAUGUUGAUGUGGAAACCAAAUAAAUUCCAAGUAACCAAUCAUAUGACUCCACAUGAAUUAAUCAUAAAAAUCAAUUUUAUUAAUAUUUCAAAACUAAAAUACACAAAACAAAAACAAAAAACUGAAAACAAAAACAAGAAAACACACCACCAGCAAGUCAGCAACCCCACAUUCAGAUCCAAUCACAAGAACCCCAAUUCCCUUGGGAAAACUACCACUAGCAACAAGUUUCUCAGUCGUCGUCUCACACCCUUAGCUUCCUCAGCCCCAAGACCAUCACGAUGAAACAGGUGAUCUCCGCUGGUUCAUGGCCUAAACCCACCAAGCUUUAGAUGUGAGGCAAUGCCGGAUCCAGGAUAUAUGUGGUCAAUCAUCCACUCACAAAGCUUCAACAAAAGAAAAUUCAAAGAACUUAGCGAAGAAGGCUUUGGUGUAAUUAACACAAUACGUUGAAAUGAAGGAAAUCUUAUUUAUUGAUAUCCCCGAUAAGCUACAAAUAUGUACAUAUACAUAAGUCAAA